GCCCAUUAGAUGAAAAGUUAAAGUAAGACACUGGCUAAUAUUUUAUUUGGAUAUUAUCAGGAGGUAAGGAUCUGACUGUGCUAAUUCCCCUCUUUGUAUUUGCUUAGCAUUUUUAAAAUGAGCUUUGCCGGAUGAGACAUGCAAAUACGUUCAGAAACGUUGGAACCUUUACUUUUAUCAUUUAGCAGAGGGGGGUGCAAUUCUGUGUAACACACACUCUGUGAGACUGCACUGAAGUCAACACACAGGAGAUUAGAGGCAGAAUUUAUAAUGCUUUGUUAGUAUUAACAGCUGGAGAGCAGAAGACAUUUUCACACAUGAAUAACUUAAGUUACCUUUUCUGUGCUGAGGGACACAUUUAAACCGAUGGCUAAUCGAUCAGCGUCUCCUCGGUCCUCAUUCAAUCCUUCACGUGCUCAAGUGCGUCUAACCAGCUGUUCAAACACUUUAAACCUGGAAAAAAGCCCUACCACAAGUGUUGACAUCAUUCCUUAAAGGGAAAAAAGAAAAUCAGUCAGACUACUGUGGUGGCGUUGGAGUUUGAGUUUUUACAGGGAUUGCAAAUUCAGUCUUUUAAGAGAGUGGAUUAACAUACCACAGUGGACACAUAAUGGAGUCGGAGAAACACAAGCCCUGCAGAACACAUGAGCAUUGCAUUCCCAUCUGGAUCUGGAGCAUGGAUUGGUGUAACGGAAGGCACACGGUGACAGCGCUACAAUACAGGAAGAUGUUCACAGGGCUUCCUGCCAAGGAGUUCUGGAAAUGUACCUAGUUACGGAUUACUUCCAUGUUAGGCUGAGAAAAUAAAAGCUUAUUUAUCGUUUAGCGGAAAGUGAGCUGUACGGAACCAAACUUGAUCUUCUACCAGGACUUUCUAACACCAUUUCAUUGUUAAAUGAAAAUGAAACGUUUAACUGUUAACAGAAUGUUCCAGGUUUAAAACAAGUUAAGCUUUAAUAAACCACUGAAGUCCUUUCCGAUUGUUGCUUAGUAAAAAAAAAAAAAUAAAUAAAUAAAUAAAUAAAACAAAUACAAUUUUGGAGAGUUUAAAAGCAUAGAUGUCCUUAUAGCAAUUCUUCCAUAUGACUUUUGUUUGUUUGUUUGUUUCUGAGACCCGUCAUGCUAACAUUGGUUUAAUCAGUGGUUCUCAACGAGUUUAUUUAUUGUUUGAUUGAUUGAAUCAUGGUUCCCACUGUCGUGGAAAACCUGGAUAUAUGAAAACUGUCAUCUGUAGACCUGUAAAAGUCAUGUAAUUCAACAAAUUCUUGAGAUUUUAAAUACAUUUUGUUACGGCAAGCUCUAAAAUAUUUUUAAAAUGUACAGUAAAAACAUCUUUAAAUAUCCAAUCCAUUAAAUCAUGAACAGAAGUCAAGGGGCUUUGAAUAUUGUUGUGGACGAUGGUGGAUCUUGAAGUCAGAAAGGUUGAAAAGCACUGGGUUAAAUCAGAAAAGGGAUGCAUUGCUCUUUUAAGGAGGAUCAUGAAAUGAAGCAAAUAAGUCACCUUCUGUUUUGAGCCUUCUUUAAUAGUUAUCCAGUCUUCUCCAUUUGAGCUUACAUCCACCUUGUAGGACUUCACAUAGUAUCUCUUGUUGGUCUCUUGAGAGAUGGCUCCCUGUGUGCCGAUCGCCGAGACAAAGCGCAGGAAUCCAAGAUCAACCUGAGGAGAGACGGACAUUAUUA